GAUUAUGUCUAUUUACCCGUUUUCGUUUAAAAUCGCUUAGCAAAAGUUGUUUAACAUAGCAACCCCCUUCACAUUUAAGAUACGGUGGAAUCAGCACUUAGCAACCACCAAUGAGUAGGGGAAUCAGCACUUAGCAAGCCCUUGGGGGAAUCAACACUUAGCAACCCCCUUCACAUUUAAGAUACGGUGGAAUCAGCACUUAGCAACCACCAAUGAAUAGGGGAAUCAGCACUUAGCAACCCCUUGGGGGAAUCAGCACUUAGCAACCCCCUUUUUAUUCAAUGUAAUCCGGUCUAUUCCGAGUGUUCAACCGGAAACCGUGUUUUUCAACACUUUACCACCUUUCCCCACUUAGCCACAUUUUUUUUAAAUCUUUGCCAAAUAUUUAUUCUAUGUUCAAAUAAAUCUCAACACAUAUCAAAUAAUAUCAAAAUAAUGCAUUAUUUCACAUGUUUACUUACCUCGGUGCAAAAUAUCGUAAUUUUGCAAUUUACUCCACUACUUUCUCUUUUCCCCGUUUGAGGUAUUCUUCUCGUCUUUCUUGAUCUAUAAUAACAAAUUUAACUCAUUUAAUGUUCACAUUUAUUAAAAUAAUCCUCCAUCCAACUUUUUGAAAAAUUACAAUUUUGCCCCAAACUUUUGCAUGUUUACAUUUUCAUCCCUAAGCUCGGAAAUUAAACUUCAUCUCUUAUUCUUAUGUUUUAUCACAUGUUGAACAUUUUUUCCUUCUAUGACAACAUAAAAUUCUCACUCUAACACACACUUUUGAACAUUAGGUAUUUUUUACCGAUUAUGUCUAUUUACCCAUUUUCGUUUCAAAUCGCUGAGAAAAAGUUGUUUAACAUAAUUUCUAGCUUCAUAUUCCACCAUAAAACAGAAAAAUAAACACAUUUCACCUAUGGGUAUUUUUCCAAAUAUGAACCCUAGCACGAAUUAUUGCUAGAAUAAGCUAAAUUAAGCUACCGGGACUCCAAAAACGUAAAGAACAUUAAAAACAGGGCUUGGGAUCACUUACUAUGGAGCUUGGAAGCUUGAAAACCCGAACUAUGGCUUCCCCCUUGCUGAUUUCAUUCACCAUGAAGAAGAUGAGCAUAUUUUGCCAUCUUUUUCCCAUUUAAUUCUAUUUAAUUACCAAAUGACUAAAAUGCCCUUACUUAAAAAAAAUCUAUUUCACUAAUUCUAUGCCCAUUUUUGUCCAUCAACUAACUAAUGGUCUAAUUAC
rnacentral:lncRNA from 1 species